rnacentral:miRNA from 1 species
AUUCACGCGUGGGUAAAUGAAAUUUACAUAAGGGUGAAUGCAAUUCACACUUGGGUGAAUUUCUUUAACCCACGCGUGAAU